UUUUCUGUCCCAUCCGGCGGAGGGUGCAAAGAGGCACGGAGGCCCGAAGACACCAAGCAGCCUCCUAGGGCUUUCACAUCCGUGGGAGCCUGCUGCUGCUGUCCACAGGUUACACACAGCAGUACCUCAUCCACACCAAUAUUUACAGACAACGUUGCGGAAGGAAGCCAUUUUGGUGACAUCAUAAACAAAUACCACUGCAUGGACAUUCCGGUAGUAGUGUUCCACCAUGGAUUUUCGAAAUCUCUCCUGACCUGCCGUGUCCCAUACUUGUACCUGGAGAAGAGACAGGUAUGUGUUUAAAGGUUUGGAUCCAGUGGUAUUUGGGACGGCUUCCAUUUUAUGUUAAGCCCUGAUGCUACUCAGCCGUGGCGUACCACAGUGUCUUCUUCUUUUGUCAGUGCUCCUUAAGGGCUGAAAGAAAUGAAGAAAAAGUACUACACAUAAAGGUUUUACAGAUUUAUCAGGCGGGCAAAGAGAAAGUGAUUGUUCUUCCUCUCUUUGAACUAGACAGGUGCUUCGUUUCUCACAAGGGAUAUUUCAUGGCACUCACCUGAGGGCUCUUAUAAAUAAAUACAAACAUUGACAACUUUUCUUAGAUUACCAUUUGAAAGGUCUGUUUUUGGGUUUGUUUGUUUUUCUAUCAGAGGAUGAAAACAGAACACCACUGCCUUGUGGGACGGAGGACUGGUAAUGAUUACUGGUUAUUAUUUAGACAGUAAUCAAUAACACAUUAAAAUAGCAAAGAUUUGUAUCAUUGUGUUUGUUAGCAAGUUAAAAUAACAAUAAUACCACAAUUGUUGAACCGUCAGAGUUCAGCCUUGUCAGAUGGCAACAAAUCUGCUGCUUUUUUAUAUGCCUCAAAUCAGACUAAAAAGGACCUGACCUAAUAGAAUAACGAGUGUGCUUUAAUGAGUCAGCAUUUUGGGCUUUCUGGAGGUUGCAGACAGGAUAGGCUUGUCAGC